rnacentral:tRNA from 2 species
AGGCGCUUAGUUUAUUGGCAAAACUUCAAUCUUACAAAUUGAAAAAGGCAGUUCAAUUCUGCCAGUGCCUA